rnacentral:rRNA from 1 species
UUUAUUGAGAGUUUGAUCCUGGCUCAGGAUGAACGUUGGCGGCGUGUUUAAGGCAUGCAAGUCGAGCGACGUGUUCCCGCAAGGGAAUUACGAGCGGCAAACGGGUGAGUAACACAUUGGUAAUCCACCUUCAAGACGGGGAUAGCUUUCCGAAAGGAAAAUUAAUACCCGAUGGUCUCCGGCCUCCAUAAGGAGUGUCGGAGUAAAGAUUUAUCGCUUGAAGAGGAGCCUAUGUCGUAUCAGCUAGUUGGUAAGGUAAUGGCUUACCAAGGCUAUGACGCGUAGGGGACGUGAGAGCGUGAUCCCCCUCACUGGGACUGAGACACUGCCCAGACUCCUACGGGAGGCUGCAGUCGAGAAUAUUCCUCAAUGGACGAAAGUCUGAAGGAGCGACGCCGCGUGCAGGAAGAAGCCCCUCGGGGUGUAAACUGCUUUUAUAUGGGACGAAUUCGUGACGGUACCAUAUGAAUAAGAGGUUGCUAACUCUGUGCCAGCAGCAGCGGUAAUACAGAGACCUCAAACGUUAUCCGGAUUCAUUGGGCGUAAAGGGUCCGCAGGUGGUUUAUAAAGUCGAUGGUUAAAUCCUGGCGCUUAACGUCAGAACUGCUGUCGAUACUGAUAAACUUGAGACUGGGAGAGGCACAUGGAAUUCUCGGUGUAGUCGUAAUAAGCGCUGAUAUCGAGAAGAACACCAAAGGCGAAGGCAAUGUGCUGGAACAGUUCUGACACUCAGGGACGAAAGCGUGGGGAGCGAAUAGGAUUAGAUACCCUAGUAGUCCACGCCCUAAACGAUGUGCACUAGGUCUUGGGAGUAUCGACCCUCUCAGGGCCGUUUAAAAAAGCAAACGCGUUAAGUGCACCGCCUGGGUAGUACGGCCGCAAGGCUAAAACUCAAAGGAAUAGACGGGGACCCGCACAAGUAGAGGAUCAUGUGGUUUAAUUCGAUGGUACGCGGCGAACCUUACCAGGGCUUGACAUGUAGCUGCACGUCUUUGGAAACAGAGACUUCUUUCGAAGGUGCUACACAGGUGCUGCAUGGUUGCCGUCAGCUCGUGCCGUGAGGUGUACCGUUAAGUCGGGUAACGAGCGCAACCCUCGUCGUAUGUUAAAUUUACAUACGAGACUGCCUACGCAAGUAGGAGGAAGGUGGGGACGACGUCAAAUCAGCAUGGCUCUUACGUCCUGGGCUACACACAUGAUACAAUGGUUGGUACAAUGGGUUUUGCCAAACCGCGAGGUGGAGCUAAUCCCAUCAAAACCAAUCGUAGUUCGGAUUGAAGGCUGCAACUCGCCUUCAUGAAGCUGGAUUUACUAGUAAACGCGCAUCAGCCACGGCGCGUUGAAUGCGUUCUCGGGUCUUGUACUCACCGCCCGUCAAGCCAAGAAAGUUGGCAGUGCCCGAAGGCUCUUUACAGGGACGAAGGCAAGGUCAGUAAUCAGGGCUAAGUCGUAACAAGGCAUCCCUAGCGGAAGCUGGGGAUGGAUCACCUCCUUU